AUGCCAAGUCCUGCAGAUGAGGAAGCCCCCCUGGUAGGCAACACUGGACCCAGGUGGGUGAGCAAGAGGGACCAGAGGUGGUCCCGGGGGGCCAGGCCAGCACGCACUGUGCUCGGAAGAUGUGCAGCUGGUGUGUCUGUGCCUUCCAGGGACUGGGCCGUGUUGGGACAGAGUGGGAGCGCCUCUCACACUGUGCCUCGGGGGUGGGGCCUCGCUCCCCUCGGCCUGGGACCCCCCUCCUGGCCAGGCAGUGGGGCAGGGAAGUGCCGCCCUCAGACGUCCCUGCCGGCGCCUGGCCUCCCCCUCAGACCAGCCCUCUCCCCUCUACCCCGCCUCCCCGUAAGGUUGCCAACCUGGGCCGGGCCAUCCACUUGCAGCUCUGCUCUGUCUGCAUCCCCCAAGCCAAGGAAAAGGCUCUGCACGCCAUCACCCUGCUGGCCCAGAACCACACCCCCGAGCUGGUGGCCACCUUCCUGGACUUCUCCGUACCCCUGGACAGGUGCCAGCCCCCCGCUGCCCUCAGCUCUGCCCUCCUGCCUGCCCCCUCACAGGGACCCCCAGGGCUCUGGGGGCAGGGAGGGAGCCCACGUACCCGUUCAUUUACCGCCCAGCUCCCGAGGCAGGCUCCGGGGAGGCACCGCUCACCAUCCAUCCUGCGGAUGUCACCCAUCCUACAGGUGUCGCCCACAGAACUUCCCGCCGCCGCCACAACCUCAAUCACUCACCUGUAGCCUCAGGGGGAGGGUGCCAGGCCCCGAGGUGUGCGCCAAGCAAGACCCCAGCCACCACCAAAGUCUCACCAUCCUUCCUGAUCCUCCAAGGACCUCCCUUUCCUCCCCGCCCCCCCCCCCCCCCCGCCGUGGCCACCCUGUAACUCUCAUGGCGCAGGGGGCGGGGGGGAGCUGGCUUUCUCGUGAAUUCCUCAGACCCCCAAGUCUGGAGGUGGGCCAGGGUCCUCUUCCUCCCCAAAAUCCCAGCUCUGAAGCCCAGGUAGGUGCUCAGUCUAGCCCCCCAGCUAUGCAUCCAUCAGGCACCUGCAUUGCAUCAUCCCUGGGUCCUUGA
rnacentral:lncRNA from 1 species